UGAGGAAUUUUCCGCAAUGGGCGCAAGCCUGACGGAGCAACGCCGCGUGCAGGAUGAAGGUCUUCGGAUCGUAAACUGCUUUUACCAGGGACGAGAAUGGACGGUACCUGGCGAAUAAGUCCCGGCUAACUACGUGCCAGCAGCCGCGGUAAUACGUAGGGGGCGAGCGUUAUCCGGAAUUAUUGGGCGUAAAGGGUGUACAGGCGGUUUGCCAAGUUCGUGGCGACAGCCAUCGGCUUAACCGAUGGUGGACUGCGAAAACUGGCAGACUUGAGAGCGAGAGAGGGACAUGGAACUCCGGGUGGAGCGGUGACAUGCGUAGAGAUCCGGAAGAACACCAAUGGCGAAGGCAGUGUCCUGGCUCGUCUCUGACGCUCAAGCACGAAAGCUAGGGGAGCGAACAG
rnacentral:rRNA from 1 species